CCUACGGGUGGCAGCAGUGGGGAAUAUUGCACAAUGGGGGAAACCCUGAUGCAGCGACGCCGCGUGAGUGAAGAAGUAAUUCGGUAUGUAAAGCUCUAUCAGUAGGGAAGAAAAUGACGGUACCUGAGUAAGAAGCCCCGGCUAACUACGUGCCAGCAGCCGCGGUAAUACGGAGGGGGCAAGCGUUAUCCGGAUUUACUGGGUGUAAAGGGAGCGUAGACGGGAGUGCAAGUCUGGAGUGAAAGGCGGGGGCUCAACCCCCGGACUGCUCUUGAAACUGUACGGCUGGAGUGCAGGAGAGGUAAGUGGAAUUCCUGGUGUAGCGGUGAAAUGCGUAGAUAUUAGGAGGAACACCAGUGGCGAAGGCAGCUUACUGGACUGUAACUGACGUUGAGGCUCGAAAGCGUGGGGAGCAAACAGGAUUAGAUACCCGAGUAGUC
rnacentral:rRNA from 1 species